ACCAGUUCAAACCGGUGGCAACUUGUAAAAUUAAAAAAAAAAGAUGGGGAAGGAGUUGGCACCGGUUCUCCUUAAACCGGUGGCAAUUAAGGUAGUUAGAACCGGUUCAAACCGGUGCCAUUUUAAAAAAAUAAAACGCGGGUUUUGCUGCUUCAACUUGGUUCAAUGGCAUUCUUUCUUCAUUCCUCCUUUUGGCUUCAAAAAUUCCCAGACAUUUUUGCCCUAUUCUCUUUCCCCUCCAUCUCUAUUGAAAGGCUGUGCGAGCUUUCUCCUCUCCAUUGAAGCAGUUAAGCUAAGCGACCUUACUCACAUCUUUCAUUCAAUUCAAUUCAAUUUUCUGCGUUCCCUCUUCCCAAACCCUUCCUCCAUUGAAGCUUCUGCCUCCUCAUACACGCAGCCUGUCUGGGCUUUGUUCUUCUCCUCACGCACGCACUCAGUUCUUCUCUUCUGCCUCCCUCCAUGCAUUAUUGAAGCAGCUUCGACCUAGGGUUUGUCAAUUGCUACUUAACUACUCCAUUAAACGCGCAAGGCUCCCCCUCCAUUAAACGCACAAGGCUGCCCCUCCACAAAUGCUAUAAUGAAAAAGAUUCAGAGGAAUUUUUGGGCGAAGCAUUGACCUUGGCAUUGACCUUCUAGUUGAGAGUGUUGAGACUUUAUAGGU